UGAAGAAGGUCUUCGGAUUGUAAAGCACUUUAAGUUGGGAGGAAGGGUUGUAGAUUAAUACUUUGCGGUUUUGACGUUACCGACAGAAUAAGGACCGGCUAACUCUGUGCCAGCAGCCGCGGUAAUACGAUCC
rnacentral:rRNA from 1 species